ACGAACGCUGGCGGCGUGCUUCACACAUGCAAGUCGAACGGAAAGGCCCUGCUUUUGUGGGGUGCUCGAGUGGCGAACGGGUGAGUAACACGUGAGUAACCUGCCCUUGACUUUGGGAUAACUUCAGGAAACUGGGGCUAAUACCGGAUAGGAGCUCCUGCUGCAUGGUGGGGGUUGGAAAGUUUCGGCGGUUGGGGAUGGACUUGCGGCUUAUCAGCUUGUUGGUGGGGUAGUGGCUUACCAAGGCUUUGACGGGUAGCCGGCCUGAGAGGGUGACCGGCCACAUUGGGACUGAGAUACGGCCCAGACUCCUACGGGAGGCAGCAGUGGGGAAUAUUGCACAAUGGGCGGAAGCCUGAUGCAGCAACGCCGCGUGCGGGAUGACGGCCUUCGGGUUGUAAACCGCUUUCGCCUGUGACGAAGCGUGAGUGACGGUAAUGGGUAAAGAAGCACCGGCUAACUACGUG
rnacentral:rRNA from 1 species